CCGCGGCCUAUCAGCUUGUUGGUGGGGUAAUGGCCUACCAAGGCGACGACGGGUAGCCGACCUGAGAGGGUGACCGGCCACACUGGGACUGAGACACGGCCCAGACUCCUACGGGAGGCAGCAGUGGGGAAUAUUGCACAAUGGGCGGAAGCCUGAUGCAGCGACGCCGCGUGAGGGAUGACGGCCUUCGGGUUGUAAACCUCUUUCGACAGGGACGAAGCGUGAGUGACGGUACCUGUAGAAGAAGCACCGGCCAACUACGUGCCAGCAGCCGCGGUAAUACGUAGGGUGCGAGCGUUGUCCGGAAUUACUGGGCGUAAAGAGCUUGUAGGCGGUUCGUCGCGUCGAUCGUGAAAACUGGCGGCUCAACUGYSAGCUUGCGGUCGAUACGGGCGGACUAGAGUACUUCAGGGGAGACUGGAAUUCCUGGUGUAGCGGUGAAAUGCGCAGAUAUCAGGAGGAACACCGGUGGCGAAGGCGGGUCUCUGGGAAGUAACUGACGCUGAGAAGCGAAAGCGUGGGUAGCGAACAGGAUUAGAUACCCUGGUAGUCCACGCCGUAAACGGUGGGUACUAGGUGUGGGUUUCCUUCCACGGGAUCCGUGCCGUAGCUAACGCAUUAAGUACCCCGCCUGGGGAGUACGGCCGCAAGGCUAAAACUCAAAGGAAUUGACGGGGGCC
rnacentral:rRNA from 1 species